UCUAAAGCAAAUUCACCUGGUGACAAAACGAACAGGCCCGGUGAGGUCAGCUCAUGAAUAUUGCUUCAUUUUCCUGAGAGGAUCUGGCAGCGCCGGGUACCCCCGGGUGCAGUGCCCGUCUUCCCGUGCACGCGUUCCGCCAGCCGGGCAGCGGACAGAGCGGCGGUGAGUAAUGCGGCUGCUGGAAGCUCGAGCCUUUCUUUUUUUCUUUUCUUUGAAAAAGAAAAAAAAAAUAGAGAAAGGGAGGGGGGCGUUACUCAAGGUUCAGCUCCAGCAAAACCUCCGGGUAGAAGUGGGGAGCUAAGGAAAGCCACCCCCGCCCCUAGAAUCGGGACAAAAGGCGGGCGGGGUCCGGAGCCCCACGGGGUAGAGGGCAGAGGGAUGCCCUGCGCCGCAUCCCCACGCUGCGGGUGGAGCCUUUUGUUGCCGUCUUUGGUCGGGCAUUUUUCUUGUUCCCGACGGGAAAACCUAUGGAGAUGCAGCGUCGCGUCGCCACGUGGAUUUGCCUCGGGAGGGUACACUGUAUGGAGGGGCUUUUCUUUGGGACACGGGAUUCGGGCUUGGGCUUAAACGGGCCCUUCAUUGUGCUAUUAACAAAGAAAAAAAGAAAAAGAAAAACAAAAACAACAGAAAAGCCCCAAGCCACGGCCAGGCAAACUGUAGGCAGUAGCCAGUCCUGAAGCUGGGGGCAUGAAGAUGGUAAGGAAGAGUCAGAGCACUCAGGGAAUAUGGGGUCUAAGCCAAGUCCUGUCCUGAGUUCUUUCAGCUUCUGUAGGGGUUUCUGGGUUUGAAGAGUGACGUUUGGUACCUGUACAGCUCUGAACAGCGGCAGUUAAAAUGAUUAAUAGAGAAACAAAGCAAACCUUUCGUACAGCAUUGUGCAUUUGUGACUGUUGAUAGGUUUACAAUCCCAUUCUACCUCUUUACUAUUGGGAAGAAUCUGCCUGGGAAGAAUCUGCCAAAUUAGGGAGGUUUUUUAAGCAUAUUGGUUAAAAUGAGGGAUAUAAUGACAGCGCACUUGGCAGAAAUCUCUGAGCCCUUGCCCUGGAGAGUAGAGUUGGUGCCUGGUGUGUUCCAGAGAGCAAAGCAAUUGUCAGGGUGCAGCAUAAAGUCUACCCUUACUUUGCCUGGUUUGAUUUCUUUAUUCCUUACCCUGCAGUGGUCUAGGUGGGAUCAUUAGGCUGUGUUAGGAAUGCUGUCACUUCUACUUUGGCCCAUGUUUUCCCUUUAAGGGCAGUUGAACAAAGGCUAUGUAAAAACAGUUGAUGUAUCAUAGCUAAUAUUUUCAGAGUGCAUUAAGGAAUGUCUUUGCAGCCUAUUUUGAUCAUCUGUUGUGAUCAUAAAAACUCUGCUUCAGUCACUGUGUGGCAAAAUUGCCAUCCUUGCACACUCAUGUGAAUACUGUGUAAUGACUGCUGUUGGGCUGGGGUGUAUUCCUCACUCCCUCUGUUUUGAAAAUCUGCUGGAGUGAUUAUGGCUCGCCCCUGUUUUGGUAGAAACAGUAUCAACUCAAAUGAGCUUAAAAGUUGAUUCAGGGACCCUUUUCCUCCAGGAGUCUUGGUUGGUGUGCUCUGGCAGCCUGGCUUUGUCCUGGCAGAGCUCCUGCCCAGGCCAAAGAGCAGUGAGCUGCAACUAUCACCUCCAGCCAUUUGUGCAGCAGCCUGGCCCACUGACAGGUGGCUGCAGGAGGCUUCAGGCAGAGGGGUGCAGCAGCAACCUGGGCUGGUACCACGAUGACCAGUGAAGAUGAACGUGAGGGAAGGGGUUUGUGUGGAUUGAAAUACAGUUGUGGUAUGGCAGCACAUAUAGGGACGGGUUUGGCAUCAGAGGGGGAAAACGGUGAUAGGUGAAAGAAGAGUGGGAACAGCUCUCAGCCUCAACCCUUUGAAGCCCGUCGGACCCACGUUGUGGCCUUCAGCCUCGGUCCCCGCUAUGCCCGCGGGGCCGGCUGGCAGCACGGGGGGCGAGGCGGGCUGGAUGCUGGGCA
ensembl:lncRNA